rnacentral:rRNA from 1 species
GAUGAACGCUAGCGGCAGGCUUAACACAUGCAAGUCGAGGGGUAUAGGUUUUCGGACCUAGAGACCGGCGCACGGGUGCGUAACGCGCAUGCAAUCUACCUUUCACAGAGGGAUAGCCCAGAGAAAUUUGGAUUAAUACCUCAUAGUAUUAUGAAGUGGCAUCAUUUUAUAAUUAAAGUUCCAACGGUGAAAGAUGAGCAUGCGUCCCAUUAGCUAGAUGGUAAGGUAACGGCUUACCAUGGCGACGAUGGGUAGGGGUCCUGAGAGGGAGAUCCCCCACACUGGUACUGAGACACGGACCAGACUCCUACGGGAGGCAGCAGUGAGGAAUAUUGGUCAAUGGACGCAAGUCUGAACCAGCCAUGCCGCGUGCAGGAUGACGGUCCUAUGGAUUGUAAACUGCUUUUGUACGAGAAGAAACACUCCUUCGUGAAGGAGCUUGACGGUAUCGUAAGAAUAAGGAUCGGCUAACUCCGUGCCAGCAGCCGCCGUAAUAC